AGUGAUGCUCUGGAGAGGCACCUGGUUUAUCUUCCACUUCGGUCCAACUUGGAGAUGGAAUUGAAAUCACAAGUAUGUGUGAAAAUGGCUGGGGAGCCUUUAUUGGGAGUUAUACUGAAGGUUACUUCACACAACCACAGACUGGGCUUCAGCAGUUGCAGCAGAUAAGUUUUUACCAUGGACCCUGUGUAAAGAAGAGACCUAGCAAGGAGAAUGAAGGCUUGUUCUUCUGCCAGUUCACUUGCUACUUAGCCCUGGGCUGGGAGCAUGAUGCCAUAUGCAGAACAUGA
rnacentral:lncRNA from 1 species